rnacentral:rRNA from 1 species
CUCCUACGGGGCGCAGCAGUAGGGAAUCUUCCACAAUGGGCGAAAGCCUGAUGGAGCAACGCCGCGUGGGUGAAGAAGGUCUUCGGAUCGUAAAACCCUGUUGUUAGAGAAGAAAGUGCGUGAGAGUAACUGUUCACGUUUCGACGGUAUCUAACCAGAAAGCCACGGCUAACUACGUGCCAGCAGCCGCGGUAAUACGUAGGUGGCAAGCGUUAUCCGGAUUUAUUGGGCGUAAAGGGUGCGCAGGCGGUCUGUUGAGUCAGCGGUCAAAGCCCGGGGCUCAACCCCGGCCCGCCGUUGAAACU